CUCUCUUUUGAUAAUUGAAGUACCAAAAAGAUAAAGAUACAAAAGAAGUUGGAUUUCUCAGUAUAAAACCAAAAUAUCCUUCUUAAAAUUAAAGGGUUUUUCUACUGUGUAGGAGUGAAUGAGUAAGAAUGAUACAGGUGAGGUGAGGUGAGGUGAAGUCCAAAUUCCUCCUCCGCUGGGCUGAAUAUAUAUAGAAAAAAAAAAAAAGAGGGUUUCAUGGUAAAAUUUUGGUAUCAGUCCUUAUAAUUUAGUACUUUAUGAUACAGGAGGUGAAGUCCAAAUUCCUCCUCCGCUGGGCUGAAUAUAUAUAGAAAAAAAAAAGAGGGUUUCAUGGUAAAAUUUUGGUAUCAGUCCUUAUAAUUUAGUACUUUAUGAUACAGGAGGUGAAGUCCAAAUUCCUCCUCCGCUGGGCUGAAUAUAUAUAGAAAAAAAAAGAGGGUUUCAUGGUAAAAUUUUGGUAUCAGUCCUUAUAAUUUAGUACUUUA
rnacentral:lncRNA from 1 species